rnacentral:rRNA from 1 species
UACGUAGGUGGCAAGCGUUGUCCGGAAUUAUUGGGCGUAAAGCGCGCGCAGGCGGUCCUUUAAGUCUGAUGUGAAAGCCCACGGCUCAACCGUGGAAGGUCAUUGGAAACUGAGGGACUUGAGUACAGAAGAGGAAAGCGGAAUUCCACGUGUAGCGGUGAAAUGCGUAGAGAUGUGGAGGAACACCAGUGGCGAAGGCAGCCCCCUGGGCUUAAAUUGACGCUGAGGCACGAAAGCGUGGGGAGCAAACAGG